AGAGUGUUACGAUGAUGGGAAACCUAGUCUAGCUCUGUCUGGUCCCUAGACCCUGUCUGGGGAC
rfam:Aerococcus urinaehominis strain CCTG42038B, complete genome.